rnacentral:rRNA from 1 species
AACGAACGCUGGCGGCAUGCCUAACACAUGCAAGUCGAACGAGACCUUCGGGUCUAGUGGCGCACGGGUGCGUAACGCGGGGGAACCUGCCCUUAGGUUCGGAAUAACUCCCCGAAAGGGGUGCUAAUACCGGAUAAUGUCUUCGGACCAAAGAUUUAUCGCCUUUGGAUGGGCCCGCGUUGGAUUAGCUAGUUGGUAGGGUAAAAGCCUACCAAGGCGACGAUCCAUAGCUGGUCUGAGAGGAUGAUCAGCCACACUGGGACUGAGAUACGGCCCAGACUCCUACGGGAGGCAGCAGUGGGGAAUAUUGGACAAUGGGCGAAAGCCUGAUCCAGCAAUGCCGCGUGAGUGAUGAAGGCCUUAGGGUUGUAAAGCUCUUUUACCCGGGAUGAUAAUGACAGUACCGGGAGAAUAAGCUCCGGCUAACUCCGUG